GUACCCUACGGGAGGCAGCAGUGAGGAAUAUUGGUCAAUGGGCGCGAGCCUGAACCAGCCAAGUCGCGUGAGGGAAGACGGUCCUAUGGGUUGUAAACCUCUUUUGUCGGGGAGCAAAGCGAGUCACGUGUGACUCAUUGAGAGUACCCGAAGAAAAAGCAUCGGCUAACUCCGUGCCAGCAGCUGCGGUAAUACGGAGGAUGCGAGCGUUAUCCGGAUUUAUUGGGUUUAAAGGGUGCGCAGGCGGAGGUGCAAGUCAGCGGUCAAAUUGCGGGGCUCAACCCCGUACUGCCGUUGAAACUGCA
rnacentral:rRNA from 1 species